AACGAACGCUGGCGGCAGGCUUAACACAUGCAAGUCGAACGGGUGUAGCAAUACAUCAGUGGCAGACGGGUGAGUAACACGUGGGAACCUGCCUAGGGGUACGGAACAACUCAGGGAAACUUGAGCUAAUACCGUAUACGUCCGUGAGGAGAAAGAUUUAUCGCCCUUAGACGGGCCCGCGUCGGAUUAGCUAGUUGGUGGGGUAACGGCCUACCAAGGCGACGAUCCGUAGCUGAUCUUAGAGGAUGAUCAGCCACACUGGGACUGAGACACGGCCCAGACUCCUACGGGAGGCAGCAGUGGGGAAUCUUGGACAAUGGGCGCAAGCCUGAUCCAGCCAUGCCGCGUGAGUGAAGAAGGUCUUCGGAUUGUAAAGCUCUUUUGCCAGGGACGAUAAUGACGGUACCUGGAGAAUAAGCCCCGGCAAACUUCGUGCCAGCCGCCGCGGUAA
rnacentral:rRNA from 1 species